GCUUCCUAUAAUAGAAGCACUCUGUCUAACUUUGGUCGGCCUUGGACUUGGACUUCUGGGUCUGACUCUCAACACUUUGCAUCUUUUUAUUCUUCUUUGUUUCUCCUUUCUUAAAGGGAUGAUGUCCACCCGAAGAAGAUCCUCCCACUACAUUCACCAUCUUCUUAUGGAGUUGGUGAUCCUUUUCAAAAGUCUGUAGCAACCCCAAAUGACCAUGGUAGUUGGCUACAGACUUUGUCAUUUGAAAAUGACUGAGAAAUGGUAGGUAGAAUUUAGGCAAGAAGUUCAAGAUCGC
rnacentral:lncRNA from 1 species